GGCUCAGUCUCCCUCCCUCCUGUGUGCCUAGCUUAGGAAAAAGUCGGGAUUGUUACCUGAAGACCAUCUGGCUCCUUCGCAUGCGCUUAUUAGGAACGGCAGAGACAACCCCCGUGAAAGGAUCAUGAGGUCGAGAUCCACAGGUUGAGGACCACUGGCUUGGAAUCAGGCCUAGGAUUGCACUCAAGGCAAGACCUCAGGAAUUCAGAUGGCCCUUCCAGUGCCAAGCUUCAUGUUGGAGACUCACAGGGCUGCCCCCAUCUCAGAUACCAGCUGAAACUGGAGUACACAGGAAAGUUUACAUUGGGUUCCUGUGGUUUUCCUGGUUUGUAUCCUCUGUUGAAUGCUGUCUGCUCCCACCAUCGGUGCUCUGACCAUUGACACUUCAUGGAUUCCAGUUUCUGGCUUCAAAUAUCUGCUGAGCUGGGAAACCAGACACCUUCCUUAUUUGGAUUGUGGAUGAAUGAAUGAAUGAAUGAAUGAAGCAUAAAGAGAACGGAAGAUCCAAAUCCCUCCGAGUAUCUACCAGAUGGAUCCGAAGAAUUUCUUCGGAGGGAGAGUAGAGGGGUUUACCCAACCGUAUGAAAAUGACUGUUUCAAGUUGGCUCACACUAGCACUGAAUAAACACAUAUUGAUAUUACAGAAC
rnacentral:lncRNA from 1 species